rnacentral:rRNA from 1 species
AGGAAGGAGAGUCGUAACAAGGCUUCCGUAGGUGAACCUACCGAAUGAUCAUUG